AUUGCGACCCCAGCUGGCACCGCCCGGGCAUGGGUGCGAAAGAAAUAGGGCCGCCCUGCCCUGGCCCGUGGACUAGAGACCUCACCUCUGCAUUUCCUCCUUGCUCUUCACCGCUCUCAUCAGAAAAGCUAGGACGCAGGGAUUUGGCCUGGCGCUGCUUGUACCCCAAGAUCUGGUUGCCUCAAGACAAGCAAAUCCUCACAUAUACCAGUUUAUAUUGAAUAACGCCUCACCCUCAACCCCACUCCUGUUUAUCCCUGAUUGGUUAAUGAAGGUGCCUUCAGCCAGCAGCUGGGCAGAAGAGAGUUUCAGAUAGACCAGGAGGAUGAAGAAACUGGAGCCAUGAGAAAGGGAUCUGGAGCGAGAUCACAGAAACACACCUGAAGCCCAAAGAACACGACAAUAAGAAUUAGGGUCAUGGAUGGAGGUAUUCAGACUACCUUUGAGGUUAACAGAUUGUUUAACUACUCAGCCAGAGAGGUGCUGCUUGAACUAAAGCUUGGUUUCUCUGUGUGCUUUCCGGAGACUAGCGUAAGAUAAAAGAAAUACGGCUGCUGGGCUAAUUGAACAUUUAUAUUAAAAAUAAUUCACUUUAUACAUCCCUGUUUGAAGUUCUUACUCCUGCUGAUUUGGGCCAACGCAUCAUUAUCUGGGCUUUAGUUUCAUUCUAUGGUUUGACAAGUUUUUAGGUCUUGUUGAAAUCUCCCCUGAAGACAAGUUCCCCUUCAGGCUGGUGCCCUUUCCUUCUUCCAGCAUGAGAUUCCUGGAGAAAUUCGCAUUUCUUCCAGAUCUAUUGUUUGGAGCUGGAAAGUUGGCUCAGCGGUUAAGAGCACUG
rnacentral:sRNA from 1 species